GGGCGCGGCGAUAGCGCGUUUAAUAUACCACUUCCUAAUGGAUCACUGAAGUUAAUCAACGUUACUUGUGGUUAGUAUCCGAAUGGGUGACCCUCUGGGCAAUUGCGGGCUCUUGGCU
rnacentral:rRNA from 1 species